AUGAAUCAUGGGUGAUAAAUAUUUCUGAAGAGGGUGAUUCUAAAAAGGGUUUUGUGUCACAUUGCAUUCAGUGUAAAGUUCUUAUUUUAAAAUCCUAUACUUUAUUUAAAGGUGAUGUUGCAGUGUAAUUACAUAAAUCCUGAGUAAUAUUAAUUUCUAUGAAUGUAGGGUUAUGGUUAGGGUUUUGGAUUAUGCAUAAUUUACUGUUGUUGUUAGAGUAAGUACAUGUAACAUCUGUAACAACAUCUCUUUAAAAUACAGCUGUUGUGAAUCCUGCCCACUUCUUUGCAUGGUCAGCACAUGCUUCAGUGCUCUGAGAGUGUUUAUAGAGCUGUGAGUUUAACACUUCAUGACUGAGAGCAGAACAGAACACAAUCUUCAUCAUCCCACAAGACACAACAACAACAAUGAACAACAUCAUCAUCCUCAUCUGGACCACUGCAGCUUUUAUUCAAGCCUCCAGAGGAGUCACUCUGACUCAACCUAAAGUUAAAACUGUCCAGCUCGGUCAAACAGCUACAAUAGAGUGUAACAUAGAUGUAGGAAUAUACAGCACCUACUUACACUGGUAUCAGCAGAAACCUGGAGAAGCUCAUAAACUCCUCAUAAAAUACAUAAACACCCUUCAGUCAGGAACUCCAUCUAGAUUCAGUGGCAGUGGAACAGCGAGUACUGGAAAAGAUUUCACUCUGACCAUCAGAGGAGUCCAGACUGAAGAUACAGGAGAUUAUUACUGUCAGAGUUACCACUACAUCAACAGUCAAUAUGUGUUCACACAGUGAUAAAGAGUCGUACAAAAACCUCCGUCAGUCAGAGUCACAGUGACUGCACUGAUACAGCUGAGAGACAUGCAGCUGCUGAUGGAGGAUAUUUCUUAUAACAGUCUCAUUUACUGAAAAAUGUUAAAGUCUUGUACUGAUUUAUGAAUAUUUCUGGUUCUUUAAUGUGUGUUUCACUCAUAACUUCACCAUGGAUGUAUUUAAUUCAUCAUUUAAAAUGUUCCAGCAUUAAACAAUCCAAUGUAAUCUGAAGAUACUUACAGUAUAGUACAGUAUGCAGGGAAACAGAAUUACACAAAAUAAGUUAAUCAUAGCAACUCCUUUUGCGUGUCAUAGAACAUUUAACUUUCAUUCCUAUUAUCUUUUUCUUCUUCUUCCAAAGUGAAAAUCUCAAAUGAUGUAUUGUGUUAAGAAUCAUUCUGUGAGUCAGUCGUGAAAAUUAUGUUUUUGGAUUUCCCACAAUCAAAUUAUAUUUUCACACUUUUUACAUAAUUAAAAUUAUAACUUGAUUGGAAGAUUUUUCUGCUUAUAAGUUAUAUUAACCUUUGAUUUUCAAUUUGAUAAAUGUUUUGGUGGAAAUGAUGCCACAGUGAUGACCAGACUCGCGGCCAACGGACGUUACCAGAAAUAUUUUUACAUUUUUGGAAGAAGGAACAUGUCUCAGGUAUGUAACAUAAAAUCUGUUUUAUAAGUCUUUAUAUAUUAAUACUGGUGAUCUGAGUGAGUGCUGAUUGUUUCGUUUGGUUUAUUUCAGUAGAAUACAGUGAAGUUAGUUAAAAUGGCGUCUUCAUACUCUAUCCUAAUUUCCACCGGCAGGAACUUUACCCAGAAACUAUGAACUUUGGACUGGUAAUCUGUGUGCUUCCACCGCAGCUACCAUGAUCUAAAUAAAGUUCUUGGUAAAAAAUAAUGUCCCUCAGUAAGCCCUGCUCGCGAGAUACUUGUUCAAAGGUCCUGAACUUUCGGGAGUGGCAAUACAACAUUGUAAUUUCAACCACCAUUUCUUUUGAUAAUUUUUUUAAUAUUACUGUCAUCGUGUCAUGAAAGGUAUAGUGUUUUAACUAUUUCAGGCGAGAAUGUAGUUGUUUAAAACUCAAAUAUGCGGUUUAUUUAUAAAGACUACGCCUAUUUAAAAAUGUGUUUCGCUGAUGUCGGAGACAGUUAACUCCACACGAUCAGCGGGAGAUGGUCAAAAUUCAAGAUGGUCAAAUUCAUCCCUCUCCACAAACAAGACGGGUUUUACAAGAGUUUAACAGGUCUUCCUUUGGUCUUUCCUUUCAGCUGAAAUAAAGAAAAAAGAAAAUGUUUUUAUUGUAUUAAU